ensembl:lncRNA
UAGUUGUCACGUGCACCGAAUACAACAGGUGUAGUAGACCUUACAGUGAAAUGCUGAAUACAACAGGUGUAGUAGACCUUACAGUGAAAUGCUGAAUACAACAGGUGUAGGUAGACCUUACAGUGAAAUGCUGAAUACAACAGGUGUAGUAGACCUUACAGUGAAAUGCUGAAUACAACAGGUGUAGUAGACCUUACAGUGAAAUGCUGAAUACAACAGGUGUAGUAGACCUUACAGUGAAAUGCUGAAUACAACAGGCAUAGGUAGACCUUACAGUGAAAUGCUGAAUAAAACAGGCAUAGGUAGACCUUACAGUGAAAUGCUGAAUACAACAGGUGUAGUAGACCUUACAGUGAAAUGCUGAAUACAACAGGUGUAGGUAGACCUUACAGUGAAAUGCUGAAUACAACAGGUGUAGUAGACCUUACAGUGAAAUGCUGAAUACAACAGGUGUAGGUAGACCUUACAGUGAAAUGCUGAAUACAGUAGGUGUAGUAGACCUUACAGUGAAAUGCUGAAUACAACAGGUGUAGUAGACCUUACAGUGAAAUGCUGAAUACAACAGGUGUAGUAGACCUUACAGUGAAAUGCUGAAUAAAACAGGCAUAGAUAGACCUUACAGUGAAAUGCUGAAUAAAACAGGUGUAGGUAGACCUUACAGUGAACUGCUGAAUAAAACAGGUGUAGGUAGACCUUACAGUGAAAUGCUUACUUACAGGCUCUAAC